rnacentral:rRNA from 1 species
ACGACGCUGGCGGCGUGCUUAACACAUGCAAGUCGAACGAGGAUCAGGGAGAGCUUGCUUGAACUGAUUCGAGUGGCGGACGGGUGAGUAACGCGUGAGCAACCUGUCUCACACAGGGGAAUAACGCAUCGAAAGAUGUGCUAAUACCGCAUAGGACCACGGUAUCGCAUGGUACUGAGGUGAAAGGAGUAAUCCGGUGUGAGGUGGGCUCGCGUCUGAUUAGAUAGUUGGUGAGGUAACGGCCCACCAAGUCAACGAUCAGUAGCCGACCUGAGAGGGUGAUCGGCCACAUUGGGACUGAGACACGGCCCAGACUCCUACGGGAGGCAGCAGUGGGGAAUAUUGGGCAAUGGGCGCAAAGCCUGACCCAGCAACGCCGCGUGAAGGAAGAAGGUUUUCGGAUCGUAAACUUCUGUCCUUGGUGAAGAGGUAGAGACGGUAGCCAAGGAGGAAGCCCCGGCUAACUACGUGCCAGCCGCGGC